UGGUUUCGUGCCUCCUAAGUGGGUGCUCUUGGUAAACCUGAAUAUAGAAGUGCCUACAUUCAGGCUGGGCGCAGUGGCUUAUGCCUGUAAUCCCAGCACUUUGGGAGGAUGAGGUGGCGGAUCAUUGAACCCAGGAGUUCAAGACCAGCCUGGGCAACAUGGCAAAACCCUGUCUCUACAAAAAAAUACAAAAACUAGCUGGGUGUGGUGCCACAUGCCUGUAGUCCCACCUACUUGGGAGGCUGAAAUGGGAGGAUCACCUGAGCCCAGGAGGUGGGGGCUGUAGUGAGCUUUGAUCAUGCCACUGCACUCCAGCAUGGGGGACAGAGUGAGACCCCAUCUUAAAAAAAAAAAAAGGAAGAAGAACAGCCUACAUCCAGAUAGGAAUUUACAAGUGCAAGUGCAAUUGGUUGCUCUGUGCAUUUCUUUUCUUUUUCUUUUUCUUUUUUUGUUUAUUUUGAGACGGAGUCUCACUCUGUCACCCAGGCUGGAGUGCAGUGUGGCAUGAUCUUGGCUCACCACAACCUCUGCCUCCUGGGUUCAGGCAAUUCUCCUGCCUCAGCCUCUCAAGUAGCUAGGACUACAGGCGCCUGCCACCACGCCUGGCUAAUUUUUGUAUUUUUAGUAGAGAUGGGGUUUCACCAUAUUGGUCAGGCUGAUCUCAAACUCUGACCUCAGGCAAUCCACCUGCCUCGGCCUCCCAAAGUGCUAGGAUUACAGGUGCGAGCCACUGUGCACGGCGCUCUGUGCAUUUCAAAAAAUCAGGAGAACCCCACAUAUAUUCCUCCUUACAAGCUUGAAAUCUGAGAAGAAUGUGACCUUUGCAAUCUCAUUUAUCCAUCUUUUCUGAUGGCUGACCGCCUGCUUAUUCUGAAGGGGCCACGAAUCUUCAUUGUCGUGGCUCCAUGCCAGAAGGCUUAACUGACUCAUACCUUUGUGUAAGUUUAUCCCCUUGAGUUACUCCUAUGAUAGUGGGCAUCAGGAUGGUCAAAAUGUCCAUAAAAUUGUCUAAGAAUUAAAAAAAUUAAAGACUGGAGAGGCCGUCUAGAGAAGGAACAGUGUGAGGCUUUGCCUUGAAUUUGGAAGAAAUACAAUUCAAGAGGAAUCAGAGAAGAAGGAAAGCUGAUAUUAAGGAUUGCUCAGGGAGGAAAGAGGUAUUUGAGAAGAAGGAACCUGACAUCCAUUCACAUGGUAGUCUAAGGGAUAAGAAGAGAUACAAAUACAAAUUUGAGGACAUAGGAAGUUGUAAAUAUGGUACAGUUGCAAAAUAAGAAUUAUUUUCCUCAUCAAGAUAAUCAAUCACAAUUGCUUUUAGAUCACCAAGUUGGAGAAGACAAAGACUCAAAGGGAAGCCAAGGGUCAGUUGGUUGGGGACACAAGAGACCAGAGACAAUUCUUUCCUUUUUGGGACUCACUUUUCCCAUCUGCAAAAGUAGGAGGUGGACUAAGAGACCUUGCCUCUCUUCUAAUUUGAAUGGUCUGUGUGGCUGGGGCUGAGUUUUACAAGCAGAGGCUGGGCUAAGCUAAACUGUUAGGGGAAAUUAGAAAUUCAGAGGAAAGUGCAAAAAGCCAGAGAGCACUCCUGUGCUGUCCACCUGGAGGAAGACUGAAUAUGGGAAGACAAGAGCCAAACUUCCUGACCAAAAGACUGAAAGAUCUGUGGUGAAACUUUCUUAAACUCCAAAUUACCCACAGACAACCCCUUCUCUUUCCAUUUUUGAGAACACCUCACCCAUUGCUCCUUGAAAGUUGGGAGCAUUUUCCUUCUAGACUUUGGGAUUGAGUUUUCAGGGACCAUGAGAAGGAUCAGAAUCAGUUGCCCUACAAUCAAAUUUUCCAUCCAUUAAAAACACUUCUCUUUCUUAACAUACAAAAGGUUCUCGAAAAAGGCAUACAGUGCUUGCCUCAGCAACACAUACACUAAAAUUGAAAUGAUACAGAGAAGAUUAGCAUGGCCACUGUGCAAGGGUAACACGCAAAUUCAUGAAGUAUUCUGUAUUUUUACUACACGGCCAUAAAAAAGAACAAAAUUGGCUGGGUGUGGUGGCUCACACCUGUAAUACCAGCACUUUGGGAGGUCGAGGCGGGCGGAUCAUUUGAGGUCAGGAGUUUGGGACCAGCCUGACCAACAUGGUGAAACCCCGUCUCUACUAAAAAUACAAAAAAAAUUAGCUGGGCCUGAUGGCGGGCACCUGUAGUCCCAGCUACUUGGAGGCUGAGGCAGGAGAAUCGCUUGAACCUAGGAGGCGGAGGUUGCAGUGAGCUGAGAUCACGCCAUGGCACUCCAGCCUGGGCAAUGAAGUGAGACUCUGUCUCAAAAAAAAAAAAAAAAAAAAAAAUCAUGUCCUUUGCAUCAACAUGGAUGCAAUGCAGCUGGAGGAUAUUAUCCUAAGCAAAUUAACACAGAACAGAAACUGAAAACUAUACACUACAUGCCCUCACUUAUAAGUGGGAGCUAAAUAUUGGGUACAGGCAGACACAAAGAUGGGACUAAUAGACACUGGGAACUCCGAAAAGGAGGAGGAAGGGAAGAGGGAAAGGGUGGAAACACUACCUAUUGGGUAAGAUGUUCACUACUUGGGCGAUGCUAUCAUUAGAAGCCCAAACCUCAGCAUCAUGCAAUAUACUCAUCUAAAAAACCUGCACACAUACCCCCUAAAUCUAAAAUAAGAAAAAGGCGUAUAACUGAGAGAAAUAUAGGCAAAAGUCAUGAGUAAGAAACCGUAGGGGAAAAAAUGUUGAAAUGAUCAAUACAUCUAUGAAAAGAUGAAGAAUCACAUCAAUAAUUAUAGAAAUAAAAUUAAACAGGAUAUGUUUACCUAUCUGAUUGUCAAAGACUAACAACAUUGAUGCCACACAGUAUAGGCUCAGCUGUUCUGGAAAAGGUAUUUUAAAAUGUAAUUGCUAGGAAUUUGUCAGUGGCUAUAAAAUUGUUUCAAUGUGUAUCUCCUUUGGCCUGGGAUUUUCAUAUCUAUGAAUUUAUCCUCGGAAUCAUUUAAGAACAUAAAAAUAUGUUCAAGAAUUUGUUGUGGCAUUGUUUAAUAGAAAAAAUGGGGAACCCUAUUUAUCGAUAAUUUGGUUAAAUAAUGAAUCUAGAAAACUUCAGGUUUGGUUUGGGUAAAAAAAAUUAUAGAGCAUUCAUACAAUGUUGUAUUAUACAGCCGCUAUAAAGAAUGAGGUAGGCCAGGCACAGUGGCUCAGGCCUGUAAUCUCAGCACUUUGGGAGGCUGAGACAGUAGGUUUGCUUGAGCCCAAGAGUUCAAAACCAGCCUGGGCAACAUGACAAAACCCUAUGAAAAAUAAUAUUAAUAAUAAAUAAAGAUUUAAAAAUGUGUAUAUAAAAGAAGAAUAAGGUAGAGCUAUACAGAUGAAUUGGCAUAGAAAGAUAUUCAAGAUUUAUUAAGAGAAAAAAGCAAAUUGCAGGAGUUCGAGACCAGCCUGGCCAACAUGGUGAAACUCCGUCUCUACUAAAAAUAUUAAAAAAAAUAGCUGGGCGUGGUGGUGAGUUCCUGUAAUCCCAGCUACUCGGGAGGCUGAGGCAGAAGAAUUGCUUGAACCCAGGAGACGGAGGUUGCAGUGAGCCGACAUGGUGCCACUGCACUCCAGCCUGGGCGACAGAGUGAGACUGUGUCUCAAACAAACAAACAAACAAAAAACAAAAAAACAAAACUGGCUGGGCACAGUGGCUCACACCUGCAAAUUCCAGCACUUUGGGAGGAGGCAGAGGCAGGUGGAUCACUUGAGUCCAAGAGUUUGAGACUAGCCUGGGUGACAUAGUGAAACCCUGUCUCUACUAAAAGUACAAAAAUUAGCUGGGCAUGGUGGCUCAUGCCUGUAGUCCCAGAUACUUGGGAGGCUAAGAAGGGAGGAUCACUUGAGCCCAGGGGGUUGAGACUGUGGUGAGCCGAGACCACGCCACUGCACUCCAGUCUGGGUGACAGAGUGAGACCCUGUCCCCUCCGCCAAAAAAAAAAAAAAAAAAAAAACCAACCCAAUACUUAUUGAAUGCUUAUAUGUGUCAGGCUCUGGACUAAACAUUUUAUAUGCAUUAAAUCAUUUGCCAAAAAAAAAAGAGAAAAAAAUAAAAAAAUAAAUGUGGCUUUUGUUGCAGAAGAAAAAAAAUCAUUGCUCCUUCCCAUGGUUCUUGAGAAAUGUUCUCUUAUUAUCCUCAUUUAAUGCUAAGGAAGUUGAAUUCCACAAUAGCUAAGCAACUUGCUCAAGGUCACAUAGCUAGAAAUGGAUAGAACUGGGAUUUAAACCCAGGCCAUUUGACUCUGAAGUCUACAUACCUAACCCCUCUCUUCUGCAGCUUCUCAGGAUUUGCUGAUAGUAUACAGUAGUCCCUUUCAUCUAUGGUUUCAGUUACCCUUGGUCAAGUAGAGUCUGUAAAUAUUAAAUGGAAAAUUCCAGAAAUAUUUCAUAGAUUUUAAAUUUUGCACUAUUCUGAGCAGUGUGAUGAAAUCUCACACCAAUCUGCAUAUCCCCUCCCGGGGCAUGAAUCAUCCCUUUGUCCAGGGUCUCCAUUCUGUGGACAACCCCCACCUGUUAGUCGCUUAGUAGCCAUCUUGGUUAUUAGAUUUAAAGGACACACACACACACACAAAAGAUUUAAAGGAUAUAGUGAUACAGGGUUCAGUACUAUCCAUGGUUUCAGGCAUCCGCUGGAGGUUUUGGAACAUAUUUCCUGCAGAUAAGGGGGGGACUACUGUAUUGUAUAAAAUUUUAUAUAGCAUAUACUGCUUUUGGAAAUAAAAAGGUAAUACAUUUAUAUACAUGUAUACAUUUACAUGUAUAGUAUAUGUACAUGUUAUAUAGAAACAACAACUAGUAAAACUCCAUCUCAUUCAAAGGACAUUAUUAUUAUUUUUUUUAUUUGAGGCAGGGUCUCACUGUUUGCCCAGGCUGGAGUACAGUAGCAUGACCAUGGCUCACUCUAGCCUCGAACUCCCUGGCUCACAUGAUCCUUCCACUUCAGCCUCCCAAGUAGCUAGGACAACAAGAGCAUAGCACCAUGCCUGGCUAAUUUUUUUUUUUUUU
rnacentral:lncRNA from 10 species